AGCAGCCGCGGUAAUUCCAGCUCCAAUAGCGUAUAUUAAAGUUGUUGCAGUUAAAAAGCUCGUAGUUGAAUUUCGGGAUUGACACAUCGGUCGUGCCUUAAGGGGUAUGAACUGGUGUAGUCAAUUUCUCACCUUCUGGAGAACCGCGAUGCCCUUAAUUGGGUGUCGCGGGGAACCAGGACCUUUACUUUAGAAAAAUUAGAGUGUUUAAAGCAGGCAUUUUGCUUGAAUACAUUAGCAUGGAAUAAUAAAAUAGGACGGCAUGAUUCUAUUUUGUUGGUUUCUAGGAUCACCGUAAUGAUUAAUAGGGAUAGUUGGGGGCAUUAGUAUUCAAUUGUCAGAGGUGAAAUUCUUGGAUUUAUUGAAGACUAACUACUGCGAAAGCAUUUGCCAAGGAUGUUUUCAUUAAUCAAGAACGAAAGUUAGGGGAUCGAAGACGAUCAGAUACCGUCGUAGUCUUAACCAUAAACUAUGCCGACUAGGAAUCAGACGAUGUUAAUUUUUAAUGUACUCGUUUGGC
rnacentral:misc_RNA from 1 species